rnacentral:tRNA from 1 species
CCAGGUAGCUCAGUCGGUAGAGCAGAGGACUGAAAAUCCUCGUGUCGGUGGUUCAAUUCCACCCCUGGCC